AACGAACGCUGGCGGCGCGCCUAAUACAUGCAAGUCGAACGGGGAGUCGACACGUGAGCAAUCACGUGGCGGUCUUAGUGGCGUACGGGUGAGUAACACGUGGGCGAACCUGCCCUUCGAGUCUGGGAUAACCUCCCGAAGGGAGGCUAAUACCGGAUACGGUCCUCGGUCGCGAGAUCUGAGGAAGAAAGGUAGGCGCAAGCUACCGCUCUUGGAGGGACUCGCGGCCUAUCAGCAGUUGGUGAGGUAACGGCUCACCAAGGCUAUGACGGGUAGCUGGUCUGAGAGGACGACCAGCCACACGGGGACUGAGAC
rnacentral:rRNA from 1 species